GACGAACGCUGGCGGCGUGCCUAAUACAUGCAAGUCGAGCGGACAGAAGGGAGCUUGCUCCCGGAUGUUAGCGGCGGACGGGUGAGUAACACGUGGGCAACCUGCCUGUAAGACUGGGAUAACUCCGGGAAACCGGAGCUAAUACCGGAUAGUUCCUUGAACCGCAUGGUUCAAGGAUGAAAGACGGUUUCGGCUGUCACUUACAGAUGGACCCGCGGCGCAUUAGCUAGUUGAUGGGGUAAUGGCUCACCAAGGCGACGCUGCGUAGCCGACCUGAGAGGGUGGUCGGCAACAAUGGGACUGAGACACGGCCCAGACUCCUACGGGAGGCAGCAGUAGGGAAUCUUCCGCAAUGGACGAAAGUCUGACGGAGCAACGCCGCGUGAGUGAUGAAGGUUUUCGGAUCGUAAAGCGCUGUUGUUAGGGAAGAACAAGUGCGAGAGUAACUGCUCGCACCUUGACGGUACCUAACCAGAAAGCCACGGCUAACUACGUGCCAGCCGCCGCAGUAA
rnacentral:rRNA from 1 species